UUUUUUUUUUUUUUUUUUGAGAUGGAGUCUCGCUCUGUCCCGCUGCCUGGAGUGCAGUGGCGCGAUCUCGGCUCACUGCAAGCUCCGCCUCCCAGGUUCGCGCCAUUCUCCUGCCUCAGCCUCCCGAGUAGCUGGGACUAUAGGCGCCCUCUACCGCGCCCAGCUAAUGUUUUUUUGUUUUUGUAUUUUUAGUAGAGACGGGGUUUCACCGUGUUAGCCAGGAUGGUCUCGAUCUCCUGACCUCGUGAUCCGCCCGCCUCGGCCUCCCAAAGUGCUGGGAUUACAGGAGUGAGCCACCGCGCCCGGCCACGUAGUUUGACUUCUAAGAGCACUACAGCUCUGCUGAAGAUGUGGUUUGUCAGCUGACUGAUUAUUCUCUGCUGUUCUGGAUAGUCUUCUAUGUACAAAACUAGAGAUGAGUGGACUUUUCGUGUGCUGUGUGGUGGAUGUGACUCAGGUCAUAGCCACUGCUCUGAAAAGUGAUGGAGUCAGGGAGCCAUCAUCCAGCCUCACCUCCUGGGUUGUCAACCUACAUUUUUGGAGCCAGCUCAUUCUUUGAGGUUUCUCUAAGUCCCCAUUGAUGGGCCCUCACUUUGUUGCCCAGGCUGGUUUCAAACUCCUGGACUCAAGCAACCCUCCUGCCUCAGCCUCCCGAAGUGCUGGGAUUACACAUGUCAGCCGCCGGACCAGAUAUUACAAGAAUCUCGGAUACAUUACUUGAGGACAGUAUAGAUUCCAGAAGAGCUGCUAUUCAUGUUGACCAACAGUCUUAAGCAGAAAGAAAUAGCUUCUGGAAAAAUAACUAUAAUAUUGGCACAUUUCAGCAUCUCAAAGCAGAUUUUUGCAAGACGGUGCAACCCUUGUCAGAGUGGGCUCUGCCUUCCAUAGUUAUUCAGGAUCCCCUAGUGGAUGAAAGCCUGGUUAUCAGUCACACCAUCUGGAAUAUGUAAUUACUGUGGAAGAGGAAAAGACACACUACAGUGCAUCUUAAUUGCCUGGAAGCUGAAAGUGACAUAACUCAUUUCUGACCACAUCCCAUUGGCCAAUCCUAAUAGCAUGGCCCCAGCAUAACUGCAAGGGAAGCACAUGUAUUUGGUUAGCCCUCUGUACACAUGGUAAUUCUAAAAUUUAAUGUCCAAAAUUUUCCUUCUAUUCUACGUGAGCAAAUCCCCAAUUAUGUAAAUAAAAAACAAAAACCUCCAAACAAUGGGUCAUCUUUUGUUUCCCACAUUAUUUUGUAACUGAUAUUCAAUUCAUCAGAAAUUCUGUUAGCUUGAUAUAAAGAAUAUCCUGAAUUUGAUCACAUCUCACAACAUCUACUAAUACCAACCUCCUUCCUACUAGCUUUACAUACAUAGAAAAAUUCUUUUUUGUGUUAAAGUAAAUUUAAUUUAAAAUUACUUUUAAAUUAAAUGUUUUUAUGUAACAUGCAUGUCUGC
rnacentral:lncRNA from 10 species